UAGUGGCCUCGAUGAGAGUGAUGACUGAUUGAAAUGAUUUUUGAGAAAUUAUAUGUUGUUAUAAUCAUGUGAAAAUCUCUAUUAAAUGUUAAACCCAAAGGUUUGAUGGUUCCGUUAGAUCAAUUCAUUUUUGCGGAUUCCUGGUUUUGGUCUUCUGCCCGAGUUCGGUACGUGCCUAUGGACAUAUCUAUGGAGGAAUGGAAGAAAUAUAAACAACACCUUCUUUCAUUGGCUGAGCAUUGGAUGUUGAGGUAUUGGUGUUCUUCAUGGCCAAGUAAGGACAUGAUUUUAACUUUUAGGCUGUCUUUCUAGAAAAGUAUGGUGAGCUUCCUUGCGUUAUUCGUAAAUAGGGCUUCUUAUAAACUAGUGAUCGUACAUUAGUGCAAGUUCUCAAUACACACAACAGAUAGUUGACAGCACAUUGAAACUGCUAUUCCUGUUGAUAAUGUACUACAGAGCUGCCAAUCCCUUUGAUAUUGACACUCUUUGAAAUUGUAAAUCAGUAUCAUAUAUUGCAAAUUCUGAUUUAUCUUAUGCCUAUAUUUCCUUUUAA
rnacentral:misc_RNA from 1 species